AUAAACAACUUUAUACUGUGAAACUGCGUACAGCUCAUUAAAUCAGUCAUUAUUUAUUUGAUGGUAUUUUAUUACAAGGAUAACCGUGKKAAUUCUAGAGCUAAUACUUGYRAAAAAUCCCGACUUUUGGAGGGAUGUAUUUAUUAAAUAAAAAACCAAUGCACCUCUGGUGGUUUGUGGUGAUUCAUAAWAACUGAUCSAAUCCCAUGGCCUUGCGCUGGCGAWAGUUCAUUCAAAUUUCUGCCCUAUCARCUUUCSACGGKAGUGUAGUGGACUACCGUGGCUUCCACGGGKGACGGAGAAUUARGGUUCSAUUCCGGAAAAGGCGCCUGAAAAACGGCGACUACMUCCAAGGAAGGGAGCAGGGGCGCAAAUUACCCAAUCCUGACACAGGGAGGKAGUGACAAUAAAUAACAAUACCGGGCCUUCUCAGGUCUGGUAAUUGGAAUGARUACAAUUUAAAUCCCUUAACSAGGAUCCA
rnacentral:rRNA from 1 species